CUGGUGGAAGCGGAAGUGACGUAAGGCCUAUGCUAGUCGAAGAUUGAACCGUUUAAAUCUGACAACAGAGGAAAUCCGCGCUCUGAAGGGCUAGGCAACCAGAACUUUAUCGGAAGUUCGCUAUGAGUCGAAUAUAAAUGGUUUAUAUACAGGAAAAAGGUUUAUCAUGUUCACCUUUAAUUAGGACAGAAACAAAUCAGACGCUGUGCUGUGUACUUUAAUUAUUGUAGGUGAAAAUGAGUAGAUUAGUGGAGAAUACCUACGAGAAACUGGACUCGGAGUUUGAUCAUCACCUCGUCGAUGUGAAACCGUAUGUACUGAAACUGCCUCACAAAUCAGACCGGCAGCGCUGUGCCUUGUGGAUCAAGAAGCUGUGCGAUCCCUUGCUGAUUGGUUCUGGCACGACGGGACGGAAGAAUCGGAACAUGUACGCCAAACUGCUCCUGCACAUGCUGAAAAGGGGACUUCUGGAGGGACCGUUCACUCACAAACCGGAGCCUGGUGCUCUUAAGACGCUGCCGACGUACAUGUCCAUCUACUUUGAUGAGCCUCUUCGUGGGGAAUCUCAGGAGCAGAGUGCGACAGAACUGCCCUCCUGGGUGUCCGGGGAGCUGGGCCUCACUGAUAGCCCCUGGACCUUCCAGGCCAAGGAGAGACCUCUGCCUUCCACAUCAUCCCCACGCCCGCACAGGAGAAGACACACGUGCGGAGACAAGCUGACAUCCCGGACACAGGCCACAGCGACUCCGCUGCACACCAGCAACGGGGAAGAGCGCAGAAGUCACGGACACCGAAAUCCGGGGGUGUCGUCCGACGACAGUGACCUUGAAGCACGCCUCAACAGCUGGAAUCUUGGGAUUGAAAACCCAAGGUAUUUGCGUGAGACCCCAAUCCCCCUUUCGCCAAUUUACCUGAAGUCCAGCCUAGGGAAAAAUGGCACCUUCUGUGAUGACACACCCCGGGCUCACACACAUGAGAGAGAGGCUGACAUGAAGGCCAAGAUGCUGGAGGUCUAUCAUCAGGAAGAGAAGCUGAAGAUGCAGCAAAAGCAUGACUCGGACGUGCAGAAGAUUUUGGACCGGAAGAAUGGUGAGAUUGAGGAGCUGAAGACCAUGUACAGGAGCAAACUGAAGGACUCUGAGGAGAUGAUUCACAAGCUAGAGAAGAAAGUCCAGAGCCUGGUACAGGAGUCGCAGGUCAUCCGACAGAGCAAAGAGAAGCAAAUCGCCGAGCUGAAGAAGAUGUCUGAGCAGAGUGUGGAAUCCCUAAGGAACGAAUUAGAGAAGAAGUUGCACGCGUCGGUGGCCGAGCUGGAGCAGGAGAAGAUCGAGCUGCAGAAGAAGCACACCCAGAGCAUCCAGGAGCUUCUGGAAGAUACCAACCAGCGCCUGGCCAAGAUGGAGUGCGAGUACGGUGUACAGAUGCAGGCCACCGAGAAGGUGGCGAAGGAGCUGGAGGCGCGGGUGAAGCAGCUGUCCAUAGAGGUGGAGCACAGCAACAGUCUACGUCAGAGAGUAGCCCAGGAGAAGGUUGAGCUGGAGCUGCAGGUUGCUGCCAUCAAGUCGGAGUUACAAGAGACCAACCGGAGGUGUGCAGCCGUGGUCCACGACAAGGAGGAGCUCAGUAAGCGGCACGCGCAGUCGCUGCAGGAGGUGCAGGCCCAGCACGACUCGGCCAUGCGCCGUUGCCAGCAGGAGAAGCUGCUCUCCUCCGCCAAGGCGUCCAAAGUCACGGAGGAGCUGGAGCAGUGCGUCAUUCGGCUGCGGGACAGCGAGCAGGCGCGGCAGGCGCGGCAGGAGCAGCUCCGGGACCAAGAGAACGCAUUUCUGCAGGAGAAGUCGGACUUUCAACAGGCCAGUGAGAAAAAAGUACAGUCACUGAAGUGCGAGAUGGAGAGAGAGGUUGUGGAGGCCAAGAAGAAGAUCUCCAAGCUGGAGGACGCCGUGAGGGAGAAAGAGGAGCAGCUGUUGCAGGUGUGGGAGAGGCAGAGGCAGCAGGCCCUGCAGGCAGAGGAAGCCCUGGAGCAGCUGAAGAGGCAGGCGGAGCUGAGCUCGGAAAAGGCCUACGCGGACAUGAGGCAGCAGAUGGAGGAGGUGGAGGCCGACCUGGGCCGCUGCAGAGCGCUCCGAGAGAAGCAGGCCGGGGAGUUCGCCUGUCAGCAGGAGGAGCUCAAGCAGAGAUACGACUCGCAGAUCGCGGAGCUGAAGCUGCAACGUGAGCAGGAGAGGACGCACCUCUUCCAGCAGCACAACGGCGAGAAGGACAGCCUGGUCCAGGACCACCAGCGGGAGAUGGCCGACCUACAGGAGCGCUCCAAGGCAGCUAUCCUGCAGCGUGAGGCGCAGACCCUGGAGUUAAGGAAGCGGGACAGCGAGAACCUGAUGGCCCUGGAGACUCAGGUGCAGACCCUGCGUGAGGAGCUGCGGCAGGCUCAUGCACAGAGGAAGCAGCAGCUGCUGGAGCUGGGCCUGCAGCGAGAGGAGGAGCGGAAGAGAGCCGCCCGCGACAUGGAGGCCGUGCUGAGUCGCCUGCGCGCCGAGGCUGACCGCGUCCACCUCGACCUGGAGAGGACCCACGCCGCCGGAAAGGAGCUGGCUGCGGAGAAGAACAACAGCAGGCUGAAGCAGAUGGAGAAGGAGUUCAGCCUGAAGCUGUCUAAAUCAGCCCAGGUGAUCACAGACCUACAGGUCAGCUUACAUGCAGCUCGAGAGGAGAGUCGACAGCUUCGCCAGGAGGCGGAGUCACGCUGGGAGGCAGAGAGGCAGAUGCUCACCCGCAAUGCAGACAUCAACAGCAAGGUUCUGCAGGAGAAGGUGGAGAACUUGCAGAGGCAGGUUCAUGCUGUCGAGAAGCAGUUAAUAAGCAAGGAGCUGGAGAUGCAGCAGCAGGUCACUCAGGUUCGGCAGGAGUGUGAGCUCAAGAUCAAGGGGCUGAUGCCAGCGUCGCUGCGGCGGGAGCUGGACGGCACCAUCACCUCGCUGCGCUCGCAGGUGGGAUUCCUUCAGAAGAGAGCAGCACUGCAGCAGCAGGAGCUGGAAGCGUACCGCAGCAGGAGCUGAAAGACCCCCCACCCCCACCCCCCAGCACACUGGGGCCUUUGUUGUCAUUCUUCACUCAUGGAUCCAGUUCAAGAUCGUCAGCAUGUGGGUCCUUCUCUGUAUGUUGGCUAAGAAAUUAAAAUCUUCAGCCACGUGACAGGCUGUAUUCAUCCCGGCAAGAUUAAUCUAAGCACGUAGAUACCUGAUGUCACUCUGUGAGAUUUUAUAUGACGUUUUUAUCCAAGGGGAGUUCUAGGAUUGUCCAUUAGUGCUUGGCGUUUUAGUGAAGUAUCCAGGUUAAGCUCUGUCUUCAUGUAUAUCGCAGCAGUGCUUGGUGUUUUAGUGAAGUAUCCAGGUUAAGAGCUGUCUUCAUGUAUAUCGCAGCAGUGCUUGGUGUUUUAGUGAAGUAUCCAGGUUAAGAGCUGUCUUCAUGAUUAUCGCAGCAGUGCUUGGCGUUUUAGUGAAGUAUCCAGGUUAAGCUCUGUCUUCAUGUAUAUCGCAGCAGUGCUUGGCGUUUUAGUGAAGUAUCCAGGUUAAGCUCUGUCUUCAUGUAUAUCGCAGCAGUGCUUGGCGUUUUAGUGAAGUAUCCAGGUUAAGAGCUGUCUUCAUGUAUAUCGCAGCAGUGCUUGGCAUUUUAGUGAAGUAUCCAGGUUAAGAGCUGUCUUCAUGUAUAUCGCAGCAGUGCUUGGCAUUUUAGUGAAGUAUCCAGGUUAAGAGCUGUCUUCAUGUAUAUCGCAGCAGUGCUUGGGAUCCGUACCUGUGCCUCCCAUGUUUUUUUCUGUUUCUGCUUCUUUGGUGGUCAGUUGGCUGUUUGUAUGUUUCUGUUUUCCUGCCACACUCAGGUGACCCAGGCACGUCGGCGCCUUCAGCUUGUUUGGACAUGAAGGAGCGAAUCCUCCAGAGACAUGGGGAGGGUCUGUUAUGGAGAUCUGGCCCAGGGUUUCUACUGAUGAUGUCAUCAUCAUUGCCUGUCUCCAUAUUUAGUCACAGACUAAACGUAAAACGUAAUUAAUUUUACUUACUGUAAUCGUCUUCCACUACUUUGUAUUUGUUGUAUUGAUGUUAUUUUGUACUGAUAUGACCUAUGACCUUUUAUAAAAAAAAAUGUUUCCAUGAAUGCAUUUUUGGCAUUUUAUUAAACUAUUGUAAUAUA